GGGGGAAGUUGCUUGGAGUCAUUGCACAUUUUGGACAGACUUGGAUGCAUUCUGCCCCUUCUUGCCCUUUCCUCGGGACGUUUCCCCCAGGACGCCUCCACCUUGGGUGUGGGGCUCGGUUGUGCCUUGUGGCAGUGCCGCUGGAGCUGGAUGGAAACGGCUGGUUUUGACAGGGGGCAGCCCUGCCUUCUCCUCAGAGGCAGCUGGCAACCCGCAGUGCCAGCACGUGGGCACCCGCCCCCUACAGCGGGGACGAUUGUAUCAAAAUGUAUAUAUUGUAACAUCAGAGCGCUCUCCGGCCCAGAGGAAUUGGGCAGCCAAUCAGAGGGACUCCUGAGAAAGCGACAGCCUUUGAAAGAGAGGCCAAUCACAGAGCAGUGCGAAAACACGUGGCCUACUAAGUGCCACAAGAUGGUGGCUCCGGACUGUGGAAUUCGGGCUGAAACAAAAUGGCGCCUCCGCUGGCUCAUGAAAUGGCGGCUCCUCACCCUGGAAUGCAGACUGGAACAAAAUGGCGCCUCCCUGUGUAGGUAGGUGGGAGGGAUUUUCUGUCUUGUCCCAUCCUACCUGCGGGCGGGCCCAGUAGCACUGGGUCCUCCCCUUCACCCGCAGCCCUUUCCCCGCCCCUGCACGCAUCCACCCGGCGCCUCCAGCUGGUAGCCAGGAAGAACGGCGGGCUGGAGGCGCCGCUCUGCUGAGCGGCUGCAGGUGCCGGCCGCGCUGCCCGGUGGCUCUCCGUCCGAGUGGUAGGAGGUGCUCUGCUGCACAUCGCGUGUAGCUGAACGAGCCCACAUCUAGGAUUCGGGGCGCAGGGGGGUGGGGGAGCUAGGCAUUCCUUUUGAGGAGCGGUUUUCUGCACCUUUCUAAAUUGCAAGGUGGGCAGCUCCUAUGGUAAAGAGGGAAGAUGAGAGAGCAGGUGAACGUGCGCCUGGUCCCGACCCUGCGUAUGUGCCUUGAAUUGCACUGGCGCUUGUCUGGAUGAUGCGCAUGCUUGUGUCCAAGUGCCUUCUUUUGUGAGUGUGCCAUGUCACAUCCAGGCAGCAAAAUUCAUAGCGCAACGAUUAAGGAAGAAAGGGUUGCAGGCUCAGCUGAAGGUGGCGUUUUGCUCUGUUUUUCCAUGUAUGCAAACGGCGGGGAGCGCUGCCUGACUUUCCCAUCCCCAUGUGAAGCCCCAGGCCUGCCCUAGGAAGCCUGCGUGGUCUGUUAUGCAGGUUGGCAUAAGGCCCGGGGAUGUGUCCGGUCACUCGAGUUGUCAGGGUCGCUCCCGCUGGCAAGUUUGAGGAUCAGUAGCCGGGCAAGAUGUCCCUCCAGGCCGUGGCCCAGCGUGGCCACCUGGGUGGCAUCCUCGUGCCCCCUGUUUUGGCCGAGCGCCCGCCCUCUUGAAGCUCCCCCACCGCUGCUGUGCCAGGGGCUUUUCUGCAGACUGCUAACGGGCGGGUCGCCGACCUGGCCUUCUGCUCACGUUGGACUGUUUCUAUUCCCACUGAAACUUGAAUUCUUUAUUUUGUUAGCCGGCACGAAGGAACGCCCUGCCCGUUUCACAGCUACGCUUUGAGGAGUACAGGCAUAGGUUUAACUGCUCGGUCUGGAUGCCUGUGUGCCUGUUAUGUGUAGUUGUCGCUGCUUAACCUGGCAGAAAGCGGAACACCACGCAGCCUCCCCAGCUGUGAUGGGGAAAGAAUCGGAAGGAUGGAAGUGGGAGCACACGCGGGUUUAGGUAAAGACGGUUUGCUAGGUAAAUGAAAAGGCGUGCCCGCAAGCCAAGGGAAACGUUUGCCGCUUCCCUUUGACAGGCAACUAUUCAGCCGCUUCUAGGAUCCCAGGGCUCACUGCACGUAACCAGCUCUUAUCUAGCACGGUGUGCAGCGUGGCUGAAUAUGAAGGCGAAAAAAAGCUUUACUUACCUGUAUGAAGGUCUCCCUGCAUUUGAAUGUAUGUGUAAUUUCUAUACAUAGACUGCCGUGUCGCGCUGACCUUGGCCAGCAGCCUGAUGGUGUGCGGUCUGUGUCGCGUGCCAUCUUCUCGUGCACUGCCAACCUCCUUGCUGGCAGGGCGCCGUAAGAAGCAGAAAAGUCCUGGGCUCAGUGUGGGCGCUGCUCCGCAACAACAGCAGGAAGGAACUACAACGUGGAUGCGUUAGCACCACCGUUUUUGUCAGAAACGCAAAAGAGCCCACCAACCCGUGCGAGGCGGUACGAGGAAAAUGGGCAGUCUCCCAGACAAAACCACGACAACUACCUAGUGUAGUAUAGUGGUGUACCUACGUGGCAUGGAGACAAUAUUUUCAGUUACCUUUAUCAAAUCCUUUUUAAUAAUUCUGUGUCUGUAUGUACUGUAGAAGUUGCAGUGGCGGGCUGACCUCAGCCAGCAGCCCGAUGCACAGCCAGCUACUCGGUCACUCAGUGUCCUCAACGGGACAGAGUAGGGAAGGCGAUGGGCAUUCUCAUGGGUCAAGACACGGACAGGGAGCUCGCUCACCAGAGGCAAAGCAGAAUAGACGUGGGGGAAGUUGCUUGGAGUCAUUGCACAUUUUGGACAGACUUGGAUGGUGAGAAACAAAAGCACCUGACCCCCCUCCCCUCUUCCCCGAGCCCAAAUACCCUCCUUCACGCACGAGUCCUCGACGUCCCCGCAGCGUGAGAGGUGCAGGGGUGAGGGGCGGUAGCGGUCAGUCCCCCCACAGCUCUGCUCGGCCGCUCCUUCCUCCUCCACUUCUCCCCUGUACCUGUGUGGGCUCUGAGCAGGCUGCAGCAUCCCUUGGGGUGUGGUGACGUGCCCCGCCGCCUCCAGCAGCGGCUGCGGGAGAAUCUCUGCCCUAGCGCUUGGAGCACCUCCUUCUGUUUCUCCUCCUGCCCAUGCUUUUUCUCCACCCUUUGCUCCAGCUCCACCUCCUCCUCCUCACGCUCCACCUCCUUCUCCUCCUCCCUCUCCGCCUCCCGCUCCCCAGCUUCUCACUCGGGCAUUCACGUGGCUGUCUCUCACACGGUUCCACCCUCUCUCCCCACUGCUGGGCAGCAUUCUGCCCCUUCUUGCCCUUUCCUCGGGACGUUUCCCCCAGGACGCCUCCACCUUGGGUGUGGGGCUCGGUUGUGCCUUGUGGCAGUGCCGCUGGAGCUGGAUGGAAACGGCUGGUUUUGACAGGGGGCAGCCCUGCCUUCUCCUCAGAGGCAGCUGGCAACCCGCAGUGCCAGCACGUGGGCACCCGCCCCCUACAGCGGGGACGAUUGUAUCAAAAUGUAUAUAUUGUAACAUCAGAGCGCUCUCCGGCCCAGAGGAAUUGGGCAGCCAAUCAGAGGGACUCCUGAGAAAGCGACAGCCUUUGAAAGAGAGGCCAAUCACAGAGCAGUGCGAAAACACGUGGCCUACUAAGUGCCACAAGAUGGUGGCUCCGGACUGUGGAAUUCGGGCUGAAACAAAAUGGCGCCUCCGCUGGCUCAUGAAAUGGCGGCUCCUCACCCUGGAACGCAGACUGGAACAAAAUGGCGCCUCCCUGUGUAGGUAGGUGGGAGGGAUUUUCUGUCUUGUCCCAUCCUACCUGCGGGCGGGCCCAGUAGCACUGGGUCCUCCCCUUCACCCGCAGCCCUUUCCCCGCCCCUGCACGCAUCCACCCGGCGCCUCCAGCUGGUAGCCAGGAAGAACGGCGGGCUGGAGGCGCCGCUCUGCUGAGCGGCUGCAGGUGCCGGCCGCGCUGCCCGGUGGCUCUCCGUCCGAGUGGUAGGAGGUGCUCUGCUGCACAUCGCGUGUAGCUGAACGAGCCCACAUCUAGGAUUCGGGGCGCAGGGGGGUGGGGGAGCUAGGCAUUCCUUUUGAGGAGCGGUUUUCUGCACCUUUCUAAAUUGCAAGGUGGGCAGCUCCUAUGGUAAAGAGGGAAGAUGAGAGAGCAGGUGAACGUGCGCCUGGUCCCGACCCUGCGUAUGUGCCUUGAAUUGCACUGGCGCUUGUCUGGAUGAUGCGCAUGCUUGUGUCCAAGUGCCUUCUUUUGUGAGUGUGCCAUGUCACAUCCAGGCAGCAAAAUUCAUAGCGCAACGAUUAAGGAAGAAAGGGUUGCAGGCUCAGCUGAAGGUGGCGUUUUGCUCUGUUUUUCCAUGUAUGCAAACGGCGGGGAGCGCUGCCUGACUUUCCCAUCCCCAUGUGAAGCCCCAGGCCUGCCCUAGGAAGCCUGCGUGGUCUGUUAUGCAGGUUGGCAUAAGGCCCGGGGAUGUGUCCGGUCACUCGAGUUGUCAGGGUCGCUCCCGCUGGCAAGUUUGAGGAUCAGUAGCCGGGCAAGAUGUCCCUCCAGGCCGUGGCCCAGCGUGGCCACCUGGGUGGCAUCCUCGUGCCCCCUGUUUUGGCCGAGCGCCCGCCCUCUUGAAGCUCCCCCACCGCUGCUGUGCCAGGGGCUUUUCUGCAGACUGCUAACGGGCGGGUCGCCGACCUGGCCUUCUGCUCACGUUGGACUGUUUCUAUUCCCACUGAAACUUGAAUUCUUUAUUUUGUUAGCCGGCACGAAGGAACGCCCUGCCCGUUUCACAGCUACGCUUUGAGGAGUACAGGCAUAGGUUUAACUGCUCGGUCUGGAUGCCUGUGUGCCUGUUAUGUGUAGUUGUCGCUGCUUAACCUGGCAGAAAGCGGAGCACCACGCAGCCUCCCCAGCUGUGAUGGGGAAAGAAUCGGAAGGAUGGAAGUGGGAGCACACGCGGGUUUAGGUAAAGACGGUUUGCUAGGUAAAUGAAAAGGCGUGCCCGCAAGCCAAGGGAAACGUUUGCCGCUUCCCUUUGACAGGCAACUAUUCAGCCGCUUCUAGGAUCCCAGGGCUCACUGCACGUAACCAGCUCUUAUCUAGCACGGUGUGCAGCGUGGCUGAAUAUGAAGGCGAAAAAAAGCUUUACUUACCUGUAUGAAGGUCUCCCUGCAUUUGAAUGUAUGUGUAAUUUCUAUACAUAGACUGCCGUGUCGCGCUGACCUUGGCCAGCAGCCUGAUGGUGUGCGGUCUGUGUCGCGUGCCAUCUUCUCGUGCACUGCCAACCUCCUUGCUGGCAGGGCGCCGUAAGAAGCAGAAAAGUCCUGGGCUCAGUGUGGGCGCUGCUCCGCAACAACAGCAGGAAGGAACUACAACGUGGAUGCGUUAGCACCACCGUUUUUGUCAGAAACGCAAAAGAGCCCACCAACCCGUGCGAGGCGGUACGAGGAAAAUGGGCAGUCUCCCAGACAAAACCACGACAACUACCUAGUGUAGUAUAGUGGUGUACCUACGUGGCAUGGAGACAAUAUUUUCAGUUACCUUUAUCAAAUCCUUUUUAAUAAUUCUGUGUCUGUAUGUACUGUAGAAGUUGCAGUGGCGGGCUGACCUCAGCCAGCAGCCCGAUGCACAGCCAGCUACUCGGUCACUCAGUGUCCUCAACGGGACAGAGUAGGGAAGGCGAUGGGCAUUCUCAUGGGUCAAGACACGGACAGGGAGCUCGCUCACCAGAGGCAAAGCAGAAUAGACGUGGGGGAAGUUGCUUGGAGUCAUUGCACAUUUUGGACAGACUUGGAUGGUGAGAAACAAAAGCACCUGACCCCCCUCCCCUCUUCCCCGAGCCCAAAUACCCUCCUUCACGCACGAGUCCUCGACGUCCCCGCAGCGUGAGAGGUGCAGGGGUGAGGGGCGGUAGCGGUCAGUCCCCCCACAGCUCUGCUCGGCCGCUCCUUCCUCCUCCACUUCUCCCCUGUACCUGUGUGGGCUCUGAGCAGGCUGCAGCAUCCCUUGGGGUGUGGUGACGUGCCCCGCCGCCUCCAGCAGCGGCUGCGGGAGAAUCUCUGCCCUAGCGCUUGGAGCACCUCCUUCUGUUUCUCCUCCUGCCCAUGCUUUUUCUCCACCCUUUGCUCCGGCUCCACCUCCUCCUCCUCACGCUCCACCUCCUUCUCCUCCUCCCUCUCCGCCUCCCGCUCCCCAGCUUCUCACUCGGGCAUUCACGUGGCUGUCUCUCACACGGUUCCACCCUCUCUCCCCACUGCUGGGCAGCAUUCUGCCCCUUCUUGCCCUUUCCUCGGGACGUUUCCCCCAGGACGCCUCCACCUUGGGUGUGGGGCUCGGUUGUGCCUUGUGGCAGUGCCGCUGGAGCUGGAUGGAAACGGCUGGUUUUGACAGGGGGCAGCCCUGCCUUCUCCUCAGAGGCAGCUGGCAACCCGCAGUGCCAGCACGUGGGCACCCGCCCCCUACAGCGGGGACGAUUGUAUCAAAAUGUAUAUAUUGUAACAUCAGAGCGCUCUCCGGCCCAGAGGAAUUGGGCAGCCAAUCAGAGGGACUCCUGAGAAAGCGACAGCCUUUGAAAGAGAGGCCAAUCACAGAGCAGUGAGAAAACACGUGGCCUACUAAGUGCCACAAGAUGGUGGCUCCGGACUGUGGAAUUCGGGCUGAAACAAAAUGGCGCCUCCGCUGGCUCAUGAAAUGGCGGCUCCUCACCCUGGAAUGCAGACUGGAACAAAAUGGCGCCUCCCUGUGUAGGUAGGUGGGAGGGAUUUUCUGUCUUGUCCCAUCCUACCUGCGGGCGGGCCCAGUAGCACUGGGUCCUCCCCUUCACCCGCAGCCCUUUCCCCGCCCCUGCACGCAUCCACCCGGCGCCUCCAGCUGGUAGCCAGGAAGAACGGCGGGCUGGAGGCGCUGCUCUGCUGAGCGGCUGCAGGUGCCGGCCGCGCUGCCCGGUGGCUCUCCGUCCGAGUGGUAGGAGGUGCUCUGCUGCACAUCGCGUGUAGCUGAACGAGCCCACAUCUAGGAUUCGGGGCGCAGGGGGGUGGGGGAGCUAGGCAUUCCUUUUGAGGAGCGGUUUUCUGCACCUUUCUAAAUUGCAAGGUGGGCAGCUCCUAUGGUAAAGAGGGAAGAUGAGAGAGCAGGUGAACGUGCGCCUGGUCCCGACCCUGCGUAUGUGCCUUGAAUUGCACUGGCGCUUGUCUGGAUGAUGCGCAUGCUUGUGUCCAAGUGCCUUCUUUUGUGAGUGUGCCAUGUCACAUCCAGGCAGCAAAAUUCAUAGCGCAACGAUUAAGGAAGAAAGGGUUGCAGGCUCAGCUGAAGGUGGCGUUUUGCUCUGUUUUUCCAUGUAUGCAAACGGCGGGGAGCGCUGCCUGACUUUCCCAUCCCCAUGUGAAGCCCCAGGCCUGCCCUAGGAAGCCUGCGUGGUCUGUUAUGCAGGUUGGCAUAAGGCCCGGGGAUGUGUCCGGUCACUCGAGUUGUCAGGGUCGCUCCCGCUGGCAAGUUUGAGGAUCAGUAGCCGGGCAAGAUGUCCCUCCAGGCCGUGGCCCAGCGUGGCCACCUGGGAGGCAUCCUCGUGCCCCCUGUUUUGGCCGAGCGCCCGCCCUCUUGAAGCUCCCCCACCACUGCUGUGCCAGGGGCUUUUCUGCAGACUGCUAACGGGCGGGUCGCCGACCUGGCCUUCUGCUCACGUUGGACUGUUUCUAUUCCCACUGAAACUUGAAUUCUUUAUUUUGUUAGCCGGCACGAAGGAACGCCCUGCCCGUUUCACAGCUACGCUUUGAGGAGUACAGGCAUAGGUUUAACUGCUCGGUCUGGAUGCCUGUGUGCCUGUUAUGUGUAGUUGUCGCUGCUUAACCUGGCAGAAAGCGGAGCACCACGCAGCCUCCCCAGCUGUGAUGGGGAAAGAAUCGGAAGGAUGGAAGUGGGAGCACACGCGGGUUUAGGUAAAGACGGUUUGCUAGGUAAAUGAAAAGGCGUGCCCGCAAGCCAAGGGAAACGUUUGCCGCUUCCCUUUGACAGGCAACUAUUCAGCCGCUUCUAGGAUCCCAGGGCUCACUGCACGUAACCAGCUCUUAUCUAGCACGGUGUGCAGCGUGGCUGAAUAUGAAGGCGAAAAAAAGCUUUACUUACCUGUAUGAAGGUCUCCCUGCAUUUGAAUGUAUGUGUAAUUUCUAUACAUAGACUGCCGUGUCGCGCUGACCUUGGCCAGCAGCCUGAUGGUGUGCGGUCUGUGUCGCGUGCCAUCUUCUCGUGCACUGCCAACCUCCUUGCUGGCAGGGCGCCGUAAGAAGCAGAAAAGUCCUGGGCUCAGUGUGGGCGCUGCUCCGCAACAACAGCAGGAAGGAACUACAACGUGGAUGCGUUAGCACCACCGUUUUUGUCAGAAACGCAAAAGAGCCCACCAACCCGUGCGAGGCGGUACGAGGAAAAUGGGCAGUCUCCCAGACAAAACCACGACAACUACCUAGUGUAGUAUAGUGGUGUACCUACGUGGCAUGGAGACAAUAUUUUCAGUUACCUUUAUCAAAUCCUUUUUAAUAAUUCUGUGUCUGUAUGUACUGUAGAAGUUGCAGUGGCGGGCUGACCUCAGCCAGCAGCCCGAUGCACAGCCAGCUACUCGGUCACUCAGUGUCCUCAACGGGACAGAGUAGGGAAGGCGAUGGGCAUUCUCAUGGGUCAAGACACGGACAGGGAGCUCGCUCACCAGAGGCAAAGCAGAAUAGACGUGGGGGAAGUUGCUUGGAGUCAUUGCACAUUUUGGACAGACUUGGAUGCAUUCUGCCCCUUCUUGCCCUUUCCUCGGGACGUUUCCCCCAGGACGCCUCCACCUUGGGUGUGGGGCUCGGUUGUGCCUUGUGGCAGUGCCGCUGGAGCUGGAUGGAAACGGCUGGUUUUGACAGGGGGCAGCCCUGCCUUCUCCUCAGAGGCAGCUGGCAACCCGCAGUGCCAGCACGUGGGCACCCGCCCCCUACAGCGGGGACGAUUGUAUCAAAAUGUAUAUAUUGUAACAUCAGAGCGCUCUCCGGCCCAGAGGAAUUGGGCAGCCAAUCAGAGGGACUCCUGAGAAAGCGACAGCCUUUGAAAGAGAGGCCAAUCACAGAGCAGUGCGAAAACACGUGGCCUACUAAGUGCCACAAGAUGUUGGCUCCGGACUGUGGAAUUCGGGCUGAAACAAAAUGGCGCCUCCGCUGGCUCAUGAAAUGGCGGCUCCUCACCCUGGAAUGCAGACUGGAACAAAAUGGCGCCUCCCUGUGUAGCCGGCACGAAGGAACGCCCUGCCCGUUUCACAGCUACGCUUUGAGGAGUACAGGCAUAGGUUUAACUGCUCGGUCUGGAUGCCUGUGUGCCUGUUAUGUGUAGUUGUCGCUGCUUAACCUGGCAGAAAGCGGAACACCACGCAGCCUCCCCAGCUGUGAUGGGGAAAGAAUCGGAAGGAUGGAAGUGGGAGCACACGCGGGUUUAGGUAAAGACGGUUUGCUAGGUAAAUGAAAAGGCGUGCCCGCAAGCCAAGGGAAACGUUUGCCGCUUCCCUUUGACAGGCAACUAUUCAGCCGCUUCUAGGAUCCCAGGGCUCACUGCACGUAACCAGCUCUUAUCUAGCACGGUGUGCAGCGUGGCUGAAUAUGAAGGCGAAAAAAAGCUUUACUUACCUGUAUGAAGGUCUCCCUGCAUUUGAAUGUAUGUGUAAUUUCUAUACAUAGACUGCCGUGUCGCGCUGACCGUGGCCAGCAGCCUGAUGGUGUGCGGUCUGUGUCGCGUGCCAUCUUCUCGUGCACUGCCAACCUCCUUGCUGGCAGGGCGCCGUAAGAAGCAGAAAAGUCCUGGGCUCAGUGUGGGCGCUGCUCCGCAACAACAGCAGGAAGGAACUACAACGUGGAUGUGUUAGCACCACCGUUUUUGUCAGAAACGCAAAAGAGCCCACCAACCCGUGCGAGGCGGUACGAGGAAAAUGGGCAGUCUCCCAGACAAAACCACGACAACUACCUAGUGUAGUAUAGUGGUGUACCUACGUGGCAUGGAGACAAUAUUUUCAGUUACCUUUAUCAAAUCCUUUUUAAUAAUUCUGUGUCUGUAUGUACUGUAGAAGUUGCAGUGGCGGGCUGACCUCAGCCAGCAGCCCGAUGCACAGCCAGCUACUCGGUCACUCAGUGUCCUCAACGGGACAGAGUAGGGAAGGCGAUGGGCAUUCUCAUGGGUCAAGACACGGACAGGGAGCUCGCUCACCAGAGGCAAAGCAGAAUAGACGUGGGGGAAGUUGCUUGGAGUCAUUGCACAUUUUGGACAGACUUGGAUGGUGAGAAACAAAAGCACCUGACCCCCCUCCCCUCUUCCCCGAGCCCAAAUACCCUCCUUCACGCACGAGUCCUCGACGUCCCCGCAGCGUGAGAGGUGCAGGGGUGAGGGGCGGUAGCGGUCAGUCCCCCCACAGCUCUGCUCGGCCGCUCCUUCCUCCUCCACUUCUCCCCUGUACCUGUGUGGGCUCUGAGCAGGCUGCAGCAUCCCUUGGGGUGUGGUGACGUGCCCCGCCGCCUCCAGCAGCGGCUGCGGGAGAAUCUCUGCCCUAGCGCUUGGAGCACCUCCUUCUGUUUCUCCUCCUGCCCAUGCUUUUUCUCCACCCUUUGCUCCGGCUCCACCUCCUCCUCCUCACGCUCCACCUCCUUCUCCUCCUCCCUCUCCGCCUCCCGCUCCCCAGCUUCUCACUCAGGCAUUCACGUGGCUGUCUCUCACACGGUUCCACCCUCUCUCCCCACUGCUGGGCAGCAUUCUGCCCCUUCUUGCCCUUUCCUCGGGACGUUUCCCCCAGGACGCCUCCACCUUGGGUGUGGGGCUCGGUUGUGCCUUGUGGCAGUGCCGCUGGAGCUGGAUGGAAACGGCUGGUUUUGACAGGGGGCAGCCCUGCCUUCUCCUCAGAGGCAGCUGGCAACCCGCAGUGCCAGCACGUGGGCACCCGCCCCCUACAGCGGGGACGAUUGUAUCAAAAUGUAUAUAUUGUAACAUCAGAGCGCUCUCCGGCCCAGAGGAAUUGGGCAGCCAAUCAGAGGGACUCCUGAGAAAGCGACAGCCUUUGAAAGAGAGGCCAAUCACAGAGCAGUGCGAAAACACGUGGCCUACUAAGUGCCACAAGAUGGUGGCUCCGGACUGUGGAAUUCGGGCUGAAACAAAAUGGCGCCUCCGCUGGCUCAUGAAAUGGCGGCUCCUCACCCUGGAAUGCAGACUGGAACGAAAUGGCGCCUCCCUGUGUAGGUAGGUGGGAGGGAUUUUCUGUCUUGUCCCAUCCUACCUGCGGGCGGGCCCAGUAGCACUGGGUCCUCCCCUUCACCCGCAGCCCUUUCCCCGCCCCUGCACGCAUCCACCCGGCGCCUCCAGCUGGUAGCCAGGAAGAACGGCGGGCUGGAGGCGCCGCUCUGCUGAGCGGCUGCAGGUGCCGGCCGCGCUGCCCGGUGGCUCUCCGUCCGAGUGGUAGGAGGUGCUCUGCUGCACAUCGCGUGUAGCUGAACGAGCCCACAUCUAGGAUUCGGGGCGCAGGGGGGUGGGGGAGCUAGGCAUUCCUUUUGAGGAGCGGUUUUCUGCACCUUUCUAAAUUGCAAGGUGGGCAGCUCCUAUGGUAAAGAGGGAAGAUGAGAGAGCAGGUGAACGUGCGCCUGGUCCCGACCCUGCGUAUGUGCCUUGAAUUGCACUGGCGCUUGUCUGGAUGAUGCGCAUGCUUGUGUCCAAGUGCCUUCUUUUGUGAGUGUGCCAUGUCACAUCCAGGCAGCAAAAUUCAUAGCGCAACGAUUAAGGAAGAAAGGGUUGCAGGCUCAGCUGAAGGUGGCGUUUUGCUCUGUUUUUCCAUGUAUGCAAACGGCGGGGAGCGCUGCCUGACUUUCCCAUCCCCAUGUGAAGCCCCAGGCCUGCCCUAGGAAGCCUGCGUGGUCUGUUAUGCAGGUUGGCAUAAGGCCCGGGGAUGUGUCCGGUCACUCGAGUUGUCAGGGUCGCUCCCGCUGGCAAGUUUGAGGAUCAGUAGCCGGGCAAGAUGUCCCUCCAGGCCGUGGCCCAGCGUGGCCACCUGGGUGGCAUCCUCGUGCCCCCUGUUUUGGCCGAGCGCCCGCCCUCUUGAAGCUCCCCCACCGCUGCUGUGCCAGGGGCUUUUCUGCAGACUGCUAACGGGCGGGUCGCCGACCUGGCCUUCUGCUCACGUUGGACUGUUUCUAUUCCCACUGAAACUUGAAUUCUUUAUUUUGUUAGCCGGCACGAAGGAACGCCCUGCCCGUUUCACAGCUACGCUUUGAGGAGUACAGGCAUAGGUUUAACUGCUCGGUCUGGAUGCCUGUGUGCCUGUUAUGUGUAGUUGUCGCUGCUUAACCUGGCAGAAAGCGGAGCACCACGCAGCCUCCCCAGCUGUGAUGGGGAAAGAAUCGGAAGGAUGGAAGUGGGAGCACACGCGGGUUUAGGUAAAGACGGUUUGCUAGGUAAAUGAAAAGGCGUGCCCGCAAGCCAAGGGAAACGUUUGCCGCUUCCCUUUGACAGGCAACUAUUCAGCCGCUUCUAGGAUCCCAGGGCUCACUGCACGUAACCAGCUCUUAUCUAGCACGGUGUGCAGCGUGGCUGAAUAUGAAGGCGAAAAAAAGCUUUACUUACCUGUAUGAAGGUCUCCCUGCAUUUGAAUGUAUGUGUAAUUUCUAUACAUAGACUGCCGUGUCGCGCUGACCUUGGCCAGCAGCCUGAUGGUGUGCGGUCUGUGUCGCGUGCCAUCUUCUCGUGCACUGCCAACCUCCUUGCUGGCAGGGCGCCGUAAGAAGCAGAAAAGUCCUGGGCUCAGUGUGGGCGCUGCUCCGCAACAACAGCAGGAAGGAACUACAACGUGGAUGCGUUAGCACCACCGUUUUUGUCAGAAACGCAAAAGAGCCCACCAACCCGUGCGAGGCGGUACGAGGAAAAUGGGCAGUCUCCCAGACAAAACCACGACAACUACCUAGUGUAGUAUAGUGGUGUACCUACGUGGCAUGGAGACAAUAUUUUCAGUUACCUUUAUCAAAUCCUUUUUAAUAAUUCUGUGUCUGUAUGUACUGUAGAAGUUGCAGUGGCGGGCUGACCUCAGCCAGCAGCCCGAUGCACAGCCAGCUACUCGGUCACUCAGUGUCCUCAACGGGACAGAGUAGGGAAGGCGAUGGGCAUUCUCAUGGGUCAAGACACGGACAGGGAGCUCGCUCACCAGAGGCAAAGCAGAAUAGACGUGGGGGAAGUUGCUUGGAGUCAUUGCACAUUUUGGACAGACUUGGAUGGUGAGAAACAAAAGCACCUGACCCCCCUCCCCUCUUCCCCGAGCCCAAAUACCCUCCUUCACGCACGAGUCCUCGACGUCCCCGCAGCGUGAGAGGUGCAGGGGUGAGGGGCGGUAGCGGUCAGUCCCCCCACAGCUCUGCUCGGCCGCUCCUUCCUCCUCCACUUCUCCCCUGUACCUGUGUGGGCUCUGAGCAGGCUGCAGCAUCCCUUGGGGUGUGGUGACGUGCCCCGCCGCCUCCAGCAGCCGCUGCGGGAGAAUCUCUGCCCUAGCGCUUGGAGCACCUCCUUCUGUUUCUCCUCCUGCCCAUGCUUUUUCUCCACCCUUUGCUCCGGCUCCACCUCCUCCUCCUCACGCUCCACCUCCUUCUCCUCCUCCCUCUCCGCCUCCCGCUCCCCAGCUUCUCACUCGGGCAUUCACGUGGCUGUCUCUCACACGGUUCCACCCUCUCUCCCCACUGCUGGGCAGCAUUCUGCCCCUUCUUGCCCUUUCCUCGGGACGUUUCCCCCAGGACGCCUCCACCUUGGGUGUGGGGCUCGGUUGUGCCUUGUGGCAGUGCCGCUGGAGCUGGAUGGAAACGGCUGGUUUUGACAGGGGGCAGCCCUGCCUUCUCCUCAGAGGCAGCUGGCAACCCGCAGUGCCAGCACGUGGGCACCCGCCCCCUACAGCGGGGACGAUUGUAUCAAAAUGUAUAUAUUGUAACAUCAGAGCGCUCUCCGGCCCAGAGGAAUUGGGCAGCCAAUCAGAGGGACUCCUGAGAAAGCGACAGCCUUUGAAAGAGAGGCCAAUCACAGAGCAGUGAGAAAACACGUGGCCUACUAAGUGCCACAAGAUGGUGGCUCCGGACUGUGGAAUUCGGGCUGAAACAAAAUGGCGCCUCCGCUGGCUCAUGAAAUGGCGGCUCCUCACCCUGGAAUGCAGACUGGAACAAAAUGGCGCCUCCCUGUGUAGGUAGGUGGGAGGGAUUUUCUGUCUUGUCCCAUCCUACCUGCGGGCGGGCCCAGUAGCACUGGGUCCUCCCCUUCACCCGCAGCCCUUUCCCCGCCCCUGCACGCAUCCACCCGGCGCCUCCAGCUGGUAGCCAGGAAGAACGGCGGGCUGGAGGCGCCGCUCUGCUGAGCGGCUGCAGGUGCCGGCCGCGCUGCCCGGUGGCUCUCCGUCCGAGUGGUAGGAGGUGCUCUGCUGCACAUCGCGUGUAGCUGAACGAGCCCACAUCUAGGAUUCGGGGCGCAGGGGGGUGGGGGAGCUAGGCAUUCCUUUUGAGGAGCGGUUUUCUGCACCUUUCUAAAUUGCAAGGUGGGCAGCUCCUAUGGUAAAGAGGGAAGAUGAGAGAGCAGGUGAACGUGCGCCUGGUCCCGACCCUGCGUAUGUGCCUUGAAUUGCACUGGCACUUGUCUGGAUGAUGCGCAUGCUUGUGUCCAAGUGCCUUCUUUUGUGAGUGUGCCAUGUCACAUCCAGGCAGCAAAAUUCAUAGCGCAACGAUUAAGGAAGAAAGGGUUGCAGGCUCAGCUGAAGGUGGCGUUUUGCUCUGUUUUUCCAUGUAUGCAAACGGCGGGGAGCGCUGCCUGACUUUCCCAUCCCCAUGUGAAGCCCCAGGCCUGCCCUAGGAAGCCUGCGUGGUCUGUUAUGCAGGUUGGCAUAAGGCCCGGGGAUGUGUCCGGUCACUCGAGUUGUCAGGGUCGCUCCCGCUGGCAAGUUUGAGGAUCAGUAGCCGGGCAAGAUGUCCCUCCAGGCCGUGGCCCAGCGUGGCCACCUGGGAGGCAUCCUCGUGCCCCCUGUUUUGGCCGAGCGCCCGCCCUCUUGAAGCUCCCCCACCGCUGCUGUGCCAGGGGCUUUUCUGCAGACUGCUAACGGGCGGGUCGCCGACCUGGCCUUCUGCUCACGUUGGACUGUUUCUAUUCCCACUGAAACUUGAAUUCUUUAUUUUGUUAGCCGGCACGAAGGAACGCCCUGCCCGUUUCACAGCUACGCUUUGAGGAGUACAGGCAUAGGUUUAACUGCUCGGUCUGGAUGCCUGUGUGCCUGUUAUGUGUAGUUGUCGCUGCUUAACCUGGCAGAAAGCGGAGCACCACGCAGCCUCCCCAGCUGUGAUGGGGAAAGAAUCGGAAGGAUGGAAGUGGGAGCACACGCGGGUUUAGGUAAAGACGGUUUGCUAGGUAAAUGAAAAGGCGUGCCCGCAAGCCAAGGGAAACGUUUGCCGCUUCCCUUUGACAGGCAACUAUUCAGCCGCUUCUAGGAUCCCAGGGCUCACUGCACGUAACCAGCUCUUAUCUAGCACGGUGUGCAGCGUGGCUGAAUAUGAAGGCGAAAAAAAAGCUUUACUUACCUGUAUGAAGGUCUCCCUGCAUUUGAAUGUAUGUGUAAUUUCUAUACAUAGACUGCCGUGUCGCGCUGACCUUGGCCAGCAGCCUGAUGGUGUGCGGUCUGUGUCGCGUGCCAUCUUCUCGUGCACUGCCAACCUCCUUGCUGGCAGGGCGCCGUAAGAAGCAGAAAAGUCCUGGGCUCAGUGUGGGCGCUGCUCCGCAACAACAGCAGGAAGGAACUACAACGUGGAUGCGUUAGCACCACCGUUUUUGUCAGAAACGCAAAAGAGCCCACCAACCCGUGCGAGGCGGUACGAGGAAAAUGGGCAGUCUCCCAGACAAAACCACGACAACUACCUAGUGUAGUAUAGUGGUGUACCUACGUGGCAUGGAGACAAUAUUUUCAGUUACCUUUAUCAAAUCCUUUUUAGUAAUUCUGUGUCUGUAUGUACUGUAGAAGUUGCAGUGGCGGGCUGACCUCAGCCAGCAGCCCGAUGCACAGCCAGCUACUCGGUCACUCAGUGUCCUCAACGGGACAGAGUAGGGAAGGCGAUGGGCAUUCUCAUGGGUCAAGACACGGACAGGGAGCUCGCUCACCAGAGGCAAAGCAGAAUAGACGUGGGGGAAGUUGCUUGGAGUCAUUGCACAUUUUGGACAGACUUGGAUGGUGAGAAACAAAAGCACCUGACCCCCCUCCCCUCUUCCCCGAGCCCAAAUACCCUCCUUCACUCACGAGUCCUCGACGUCCCCGCAGCGUGAGAGGUGCAGGGGUGAGGGGCGGUAGCGGUCAGUCCCCCCACAGCUCUGCUCGGCCGCUCCUUCCUCCUCCACUUCUCCCCUGUACCUGUGUGGGCUCUGAGCAGGCUGCAGCAUCCCUUGGGGUGUGGUGACGUGCCCCGCCGCCUCCAGCAGCCGCUGCGGGAGAAUCUCUGCCCUAGCGCUUGGAGCACCUCCUUCUGUUUCUCCUCCUGCCCAUGCUUUUUCUCCACCCUUUGCUCCGGCUCCACCUCCUCCUCCUCACGCUCCACCUCCUUCUCCUCCUCCCUCUCCGCCUCCCGCUCCCCAGCUUCUCACUCGGGCAUUCACGUGGCUGUCUCUCACACGGUUCCACCCUCUCUCCCCACUGCUGGGCAGCAUUCUGCCCCUUCUUGCCCUUUCCUCGGGACGUUUUCCCCAGGACGCCUCCACCUUGGGUGUGGGGCUCGGUUGUGCCUUGUGGCAGUGCCGCUGGAGCUGGAUGGAAACGGCUGGUUUUGACAGGGGGCAGCCCUGCCUUCUCCUCAGAGGCAGCUGGCAACCCGCAGUGCCAGCACGUGGGCACCCGCCCCCUACAGCGGGGACGAUUGUAUCAAAAUGUAUAUAUUGUAACAUCAGAGCGCUCUCCGGCCCAGAGGAAUUGGGCAGCCAAUCAGAGGGACUCCUGAGAAAGCGACAGCCUUUGAAAGAGAGGCCAAUCACAGAGCAGUGCGAAAACACGUGGCCUACUAAGUGCCACAAGAUGGUGGCUCCGGACUGUGGAAUUCGGGCUGAAACAAAAUGGCGCCUCCGCUGGCUCAUGAAAUGGCGGCUCCUCACCCUGGAAUGCAGACUGGAACGAAAUGGCGCCUCCCUGUGUAGGUAGGUGGGAGGGAUUUUCUGUCUUGUCCCAUCCUACCUGCGGGCGGGCCCAGUAGCACUGGGUCCUCCCCUUCACCCGCAGCCCUUUCCCCGCCCCUGCACGCAUCCACCCGGCGCCUCCAGCUGGUAGCCAGGAAGAACGGCGGGCUGGAGGCGCCGCUCUGCUGAGCGGCUGCAGGUGCCGGCCGCGCUGCCCGGUGGCUCUCCGUCCGAGUGGUAGGAGGUGCUCUGCUGCACAUCGCGUGUAGCUGAACGAGCCCACAUCUAGGAUUCGGGGCGCAGGGGGGUGGGGGAGCUAGGCAUUCCUUUUGAGGAGCGGUUUUCUGCACCUUUCUAAAUUGCAAGGUGGGCAGCUCCUAUGGUAAAGAGGGAAGAUGAGAGAGCAGGUGAACGUGCGCCUGGUCCCGACCCUGCGUAUGUGCCUUGAAUUGCACUGGCGCUUGUCUGGAUGAUGCGCAUGCUUGUGUCCAAGUGCCUUCUUUUGUGAGUGUGCCAUGUCACAUCCAGGCAGCAAAAUUCAUAGCGCAACGAUUAAGGAAGAAAGGGUUGCAGGCUCAGCUGAAGGUGGCGUUUUGCUCUGUUUUUCCAUGUAUGCAAACGGCGGGGAGCGCUGCCUGACUUUCCCAUCCCCAUGUGAAGCCCCAGGCCUGCCCUAGGAAGCCUGCGUGGUCUGUUAUGCAGGUUGGCAUAAGGCCCGGGGAUGUGUCCGGUCACUCGAGUUGUCAGGGUCGCUCCCGCUGGCAAGUUUGAGGAUCAGUAGCCGGGCAAGAUGUCCCUCCAGGCCGUGGCCCAGCGUGGCCACCUGGGAGGCAUCCUCGUGCCCCCUGUUUUGGCCGAGCGCCCGCCCUCUUGAAGCUCCCCCACCGCUGCUGUGCCAGGGGCUUUUCUGCAGACUGCUAACGGGCGGGUCGCCGACCUGGCCUUCUGCUCACGUUGGACUGUUUCUAUUCCCACUGAAACUUGAAUUCUUUAUUUUGUUAGCCGGCACGAAGGAACGCCCUGCCCGUUUCACAGCUACGCUUUGAGGAGUACAGGCAUAGGUUUAACUGCUCGGUCUGGAUGCCUGUGUGCCUGUUAUGUGUAGUUGUCGCUGCUUAACCUGGCAGAAAGCGGAGCACCACGCAGCCUCCCCAGCUGUGAUGGGGAAAGAAUCGGAAGGAUGGAAGUGGGAGCACACGCGGGUUUAGGUAAAGACGGUUUGCUAGGUAAAUGAAAAGGCGUGCCCGCAAGCCAAGGGAAACGUUUGCCGCUUCCCUUUGACAGGCAACUAUUCAGCCGCUUCUAGGAUCCCAGGGCUCACUGCACGUAACCAGCUCUUAUCUAGCACGGUGUGCAGCGUGGCUGAAUAUGAAGGCGAAAAAAAGCUUUACUUACCUGUAUGAAGGUCUCCCUGCAUUUGAAUGUAUGUGUAAUUUCUAUACAUAGACUGCCGUGUCGCGCUGACCUUGGCCAGCAGCCUGAUGGUGUGCGGUCUGUGUCGCGUGCCAUCUUCUCGUGCACUGCCAACCUCCUUGCUGGCAGGGCGCCGUAAGAAGCAGAAAAGUCCUGGGCUCAGUGUGGGCGCUGCUCCGCAACAACAGCAGGAAGGAACUACAACGUGGAUGCGUUAGCACCACCGUUUUUGUCAGAAACGCAAAAGAGCCCACCAACCCGUGCGAGGCGGUACGAGGAAAAUGGGCAGUCUCCCAGACAAAACCACGACAACUACCUAGUGUAGUAUAGUGGUGUACCUACGUGGCAUGGAGACAAUAUUUUCAGUUACCUUUAUCAAAUCCUUUUUAAUAAUUCUGUGUCUGUAUGUACUGUAGAAGUUGCAGUGGCGGGCUGACCUCAGCCAGCAGCCCGAUGCACAGCCAGCUACUCGGUCACUCAGUGUCCUCAACGGGACAGAGUAGGGAAGGCGAUGGGCAUUCUCAUGGGUCAAGACACGGACAGGGAGCUCGCUCACCAGAGGCAAAGCAGAAUAGACGUGGGGGAAGUUGCUUGGAGUCAUUGCACAUUUUGGACAGACUUGGAUGGUGAGAAACAAAAGCACCUGACCCCCCUCCCCUCUUCCCCGAGCCCAAAUACCCUCCUUCACGCACGAGUCCUCGACGUCCCCGCAGCGUGAGAGGUGCAGGGGUGAGGGGCGGUAGCGGUCAGUCCCCCCACAGCUCUGCUCGGCCGCUCCUUCCUCCUCCACUUCUCCCCUGUACCUGUGUGGGCUCUGAGCAGGCUGCAGCAUCCCUUGGGGUGUGGUGACGUGCCCCGCCGCCUCCAGCAGCCGCUGCGGGAGAAUCUCUGCCCUAGCGCUUGGAGCACCUCCUUCUGUUUCUCCUCCUGCCCAUGCUUUUUCUCCACCCUUUGCUCCGGCUCCACCUCCUCCUCCUCACGCUCCACCUCCUUCUCCUCCUCCCUCUCCGCCUCCCGCUCCCCAGCUUCUCACUCGGGCAUUCACGUGGCUGUCUCUCACACGGUUCCACCCUCUCUCCCCACUGCUGGGCAGCAUUCUGCCCCUUCUUGCCCUUUCCUCGGGACGUUUUCCCCAGGACGCCUCCACCUUGGGUGUGGGGCUCGGUUGUGCCUUGUGGCAGUGCCGCUGGAGCUGGAUGGAAACGGCUGGUUUUGACAGGGGGCAGCCCUGCCUUCUCCUCAGAGGCAGCUGGCAACCCGCAGUGCCAGCACGUGGGCACCCGCCCCCUACAGCGGGGACGAUUGUAUCAAAAUGUAUAUAUUGUAACAUCAGAGCGCUCUCCGGCCCAGAGGAAUUGGGCAGCCAAUCAGAGGGACUCCUGAGAAAGCGACAGCCUUUGAAAGAGAGGCCAAUCACAGAGCAGUGCGAAAACACGUGGCCUACUAAGUGCCACAAGAUGGUGGCUCCGGACUGUGGAAUUCGGGCUGAAACAAAAUGGCGCCUCCGCUGGCUCAUGAAAUGGCGGCUCCUCACCCUGGAAUGCAGACUGGAACGAAAUGGCGCCUCCCUGUGUAGGUAGGUGGGAGGGAUUUUCUGUCUUGUCCCAUCCUACCUGCGGGCGGGCCCAGUAGCACUGGGUCCUCCCCUUCACCCGCAGCCCUUUCCCCGCCCCUGCACGCAUCCACCCGGCGCCUCCAGCUGGUAGCCAGGAAGAACGGCGGGCUGGAGGCGCCGCUCUGCUGAGCGGCUGCAGGUGCCGGCCGCGCUGCCCGGUGGCUCUCCGUCCGAGUGGUAGGAGGUGCUCUGCUGCACAUCGCGUGUAGCUGAACGAGCCCACAUCUAGGAUUCGGGGCGCAGGGGGGUGGGGGAGCUAGGCAUUCCUUUUGAGGAGCGGUUUUCUGCACCUUUCUAAAUUGCAAGGUGGGCAGCUCCUAUGGUAAAGAGGGAAGAUGAGAGAGCAGGUGAACGUGCGCCUGGUCCCGACCCUGCGUAUGUGCCUUGAAUUGCACUGGCGCUUGUCUGGAUGAUGCGCAUGCUUGUGUCCAAGUGCCUUCUUUUGUGAGUGUGCCAUGUCACAUCCAGGCAGCAAAAUUCAUAGCGCAACGAUUAAGGAAGAAAGGGUUGCAGGCUCAGCUGAAGGUGGCGUUUUGCUCUGUUUUUCCAUGUAUGCAAACGGCGGGGAGCGCUGCCUGACUUUCCCAUCCCCAUGUGAAGCCCCAGGCCUGCCCUAGGAAGCCUGCGUGGUCUGUUAUGCAGGUUGGCAUAAGGCCCGGGGAUGUGUCCGGUCACUCGAGUUGUCAGGGUCGCUCCCGCUGGCAAGUUUGAGGAUCAGUAGCCGGGCAAGAUGUCCCUCCAGGCCGUGGCCCAGCGUGGCCACCUGGGAGGCAUCCUCGUGCCCCCUGUUUUGGCCGAGCGCCCGCCCUCUUGAAGCUCCCCCACCGCUGCUGUGCCAGGGGCUUUUCUGCAGACUGCUAACGGGCGGGUCGCCGACCUGGCCUUCUGCUCACGUUGGACUGUUUCUAUUCCCACUGAAACUUGAAUUCUUUAUUUUGUUAGCCGGCACGAAGGAACGCCCUGCCCGUUUCACAGCUACGCUUUGAGGAGUACAGGCAUAGGUUUAACUGCUCGGUCUGGAUGCCUGUGUGCCUGUUAUGUGUAGUUGUCGCUGCUUAACCUGGCAGAAAGCGGAGCACCACGCAGCCUCCCCAGCUGUGAUGGGGAAAGAAUCGGAAGGAUGGAAGUGGGAGCACACGCGGGUUUAGGUAAAGACGGUUUGCUAGGUAAAUGAAAAGGCGUGCCCGCAAGCCAAGGGAAACGUUUGCCGCUUCCCUUUGACAGGCAACUAUUCAGCCGCUUCUAGGAUCCCAGGGCUCACUGCACGUAACCAGCUCUUAUCUAGCACGGUGUGCAGCGUGGCUGAAUAUGAAGGCGAAAAAAAGCUUUACUUACCUGUAUGAAGGUCUCCCUGCAUUUGAAUGGCGCCGUAAGAAGCAGAAAAGUCCUGGGCUCAGUGUGGGCGCUGCUCCGCAACAACAGCAGGAAGGAACUACAACGUGGAUGCGUUAGCACCACCGUUUUUGUCAGAAACGCAAAAGAGCCCACCAACCCGUGCGAGGCGGUACGAGGAAAAUGGGCAGUCUCCCAGACAAAACCACGACAACUACCUAGUGUAGUAUAGUGGUGUACCUACGUGGCAUGGAGACAAUAUUUUCAGUUACCUUUAUCAAAUCCUUUUUAAUAAUUCUGUGUCUGUAUGUACUGUAGAAGUUGCAGUGGCGGGCUGACCUCAGCCAGCAGCCCGAUGCACAGCCAGCUACUCGGUCACUCAGUGUCCUCAACGGGACAGAGUAGGGAAGGCGAUGGGCAUUCUCAUGGGUCAAGACACGGACAGGGAGCUCGCUCACCAGAGGCAAAGCAGAAUAGACGUGGGGGAAGUUGCUUGGAGUCAUUGCACAUUUUGGACAGACUUGGAUGGUGAGAAACAAAAGCACCUGACCCCCCUCCCCUCUUCCCCGAGCCCAAAUACCCUCCUUCACUCACGAGUCCUCGACGUCCCCGCAGCGUGAGAGGUGCAGGGGUGAGGGGCGGUAGCGGUCAGUCCCCCCACAGCUCUGCUCGGCCGCUCCUUCCUCCUCCACUUCUCCCCUGUACCUGUGUGGGCUCUGAGCAGGCUGCAGCAUCCCUUGGGGUGUGGUGACGUGCCCCGCCGCCUCCAGCAGCCGCUGCGGGAGAAUCUCUGCCCUAGCGCUUGGAGCACCUCCUUCUGUUUCUCCUCCUGCCCAUGCUUUUUCUCCACCCUUUGCUCCGGCUCCACCUCCUCCUCCUCACGCUCCACCUCCUUCUCCUCCUCCCUCUCCGCCUCCCGCUCCCCAGCUUCUCACUCGGGCAUUCACGUGGCUGUCUCUCACACGGUUCCACCCUCUCUCCCCACUGCUGGGCAGCAUUCUGCCCCUUCUUGCCCUUUCCUCGGGACGUUUUCCCCAGGACGCCUCCACCUUGGGUGUGGGGCUCGGUUGUGCCUUGUGGCAGUGCCGCUGGAGCUGGAUGGAAACGGCUGGUUUUGACAGGGGGCAGCCCUGCCUUCUCCUCAGAGGCAGCUGGCAACCCGCAGUGCCAGCACGUGGGCACCCGCCCCCUACAGCGGGGACGAUUGUAUCAAAAUGUAUAUAUUGUAACAUCAGAGCGCUCUCCGGCCCAGAGGAAUUGGGCAGCCAAUCAGAGGGACUCCUGAGAAAGCGACAGCCUUUGAAAGAGAGGCCAAUCACAGAGCAGUGCGAAAACACGUGGCCUACUAAGUGCCACAAGAUGGUGGCUCCGGACUGUGGAAUUCGGGCUGAAACAAAAUGGCGCCUCCGCUGGCUCAUGAAAUGGCGGCUCCUCACCCUGGAUUGCAGACUGGAACGAAAUGGCGCCUCCCUGUGUAGGUAGGUGGGAGGGAUUUUCUGUCUUGUCCCAUCCUACCUGCGGGCGGGCCCAGUAGCACUGGGUCCUCCCCUUCACCCGCAGCCCUUUCCCCGCCCCUGCACGCAUCCACCCGGCGCCUCCAGCUGGUAGCCAGGAAGAACGGCGGGCUGGAGGCGCCGCUCUACUGAGCGGCUGCAGGUGCCGGCAGUUAUCGCUGCUUAACCUGGCAGAAAGCGGAACACCACGCAACCUCCCCAGCUGUGAUGAGGAACGAAUCGGAAGGAUGGAAGGGGGAGCUAACACAGUUUUAGUUAAAUACGGUUGUUAAGUUUUUUAUGAUACAAUACAUCACCUCCACAGCCCCAGAUAUUUCUCAGAAGGGAAUGGAGCAUUUUAUAAAACAAGAUUCAUGAAUGACGGCUAGAAGUAAGUGUACACUGGGAUCAUUUGAACAGUCAACUCCUACGCUAAUUGUAGCCACACAGAAUGGUGUUUGGGCGUAGGCUGCGUUUGAUUAAGUGUAUAAUCUCGGCUGCAUAUUUUAACACAAAAAUGUCACUCAGUCAUUCUGAGAGGAUACAAAGACACGUGGGUUACCAAGUGUCCCAAAAUGGCGUCUCCUCUCCGUGGAAGGCAGGCGGAUACAAGAUGGCGCCUCCCUAUGCAGGGAGGUGGGAGGGAUUUCCUGUGCAGGGCCCUGCCACCUCCGGUGGGGCUGAUUGACAUUGGGCCCUGCCCUUCACCUGAGGUUUCUUUCCCACCCCGGCAUGCAGUCGGCACAGCGCUGCCUGCUGCUGACCAGGAAGAGCUGCGGGCCGGAGAGGCAGGUGUGUGGAGCAGGAGCAGCAGCUUUACACGCCACAGCGUUCGGUGCCUGGCUGCCCGAGUGGUAAGAGAUGUUCUGUUGCACAUUGGGCGUAGUGAGGAGGGCUUGAAAGUGUAGAUUCACGGAAAGGGAGGGGGGCUCUCCGAGUGUUCUGGGGAGCCGUUCUGCCCCCUUUCUGGAGGGCAAGCGGGACAGAUGCUGUUGUUAGCAGGGAAGAUGAGAGAGCCAUAGAGCUGCAGCUUGAGGCUGUGUUUGUGCGCUCCCGAGAAUGCUAUUGCCCAGGAGCCGCCUUUUCUCAGUGCAGCUACUCAAGGACAAGGCCCCGCGUCCUUUGGAAGGGGUGUGUGACAGGGUAAUCCUGUUCCCUCUGGCUUCAAGCCACGCAUGCUAUUGGAAAUGCAGGGUUGAAUCCUGCUGUAGCCCCUGCAGCCUGAAAGGUACCAAAGAACUGGGCUCGAGGGCCCAAAGGCUGGGAUUGGCAAGUGGCCUCUCCGUUUCAUACUGAUGCUUUCAGGAGCAUAGCCAUAUCUUUAACUUUGGCCUGCCGAGAACUGUCUGUGGGUUACUUGUGCCUGCUGGGGUGUAGCCCUCGAGGCCCGGCUAAACAGCACACAGUGGUUCGCUCUCCCUCCCCAGGCAAGGCUGGGGACAGUACCGGCAAGGUAGAAGUGGGAGGACGCACAGGAGAGGCUGAAGGCCGUUUCCGGGGCAAGGCCCAGGCCGCAAGAAGGAGCAAGGCAAAAUGCGGGAUUCAUUUCCAGGUUCCCGUUGGCGGGCAGAUGGAUAUUCAGGUGCUCCCAGAAAAGCGGGGACCGUCUCGUGUCACAGUUAGCUGGGAAGACAAUCAGCAUUGCUCCCAGUAUGCUCUCAUGCCUCCUUCUGUAGGUUGGCUGUAACUGCGGAGCACGACAUUAGGUGGUACGGAAUAUCCCCUUGGUUCAGUUUGGGCCAGGUGGCCCAGCUGGGAUCCCCGCCGCCCUCCCGCAACUUCUUGUGCCACUCCAGCCUCCUGGCUCGAAGGAGAGCAUAAGAAGCAGAAGCGUCCUUGGUUUCUGUGGAAGCAGCGCUCUGCUACAGCACUUAGGUGGCUGUGUGAUCUGCGCUGUUCACGGCCCGAUUCCCAAACCUGCAGGACAGGUGCCUGCCAGAAGAAAAAGAUCUCUGCCCUAGCCAGACCCACGACAAUUCCCUAGCGCACUGCAGUAGCACAAAGUGAGGGUAGUCCUGUCGCUGGAGUGAGUAUCUGCGCUGCACCCGGUGGUACCGCAGCGUAACAUCGUGGCUUACGGGCCCUGAGUCUGCCGAGGUGCUUCCAAAGGAAGGGGCUCUGCUGCUCCCCAAAGGCUGUGCCGCAGCAGUCUGUGGAUAAGAGGAUGCUCUGCCCAUGCGCAGCAUUUCCACCGACGCAGAGCGUAGCUACUCAGAAUGCUGUGUGGGCAAACGCAGCCGAGUUUUAACAGUAUCAUCUGGGCUGCACAGUUGCAUCUAAACCCCUGCGUUUCUACACCAGAGCCCUCCCGUAGCUGGAGGAAGCAAGCAGCCGUUCAGGACAGACCUGAGAAGACAAUGGCAUUUAACAAAUGUGACUCAGCCAAUCUGAGAGGAUACAAAGACACGUGGGUUACCAAGUGUCCCAAAAUGGCGUCUCCUCUCCGUGGAAGGCAGGCGGAUACAAGAUGGCGCCUCCCUCUGCAGGGAGGUGGGAGGGAUUUCCUGUGCAGGGCCCUGCCACCUCCGGUGGGGCUGAUUGACAUUGGGCCUGCCCUUCACCUGAGGUUUCUUUCCCACCCCGGCAUGCAGUCGGCACAGCGCUGCCUGCUGCUGACCAGGAAGAGCUGCGGGCCGGAGAGGCAGGUGUGUGGAGCAGGAGCAGCAGCUUUACACGCCACAGCGUUCGGUGCCUGGCUGCCCGAGUGGUAAGAGAUGUUCUGUUGCACAUUGGGCGUAGUGAGGAGGGCUUGAAAGUGUAGAUUCACGGAAAGGGAGGGGGGCUCUCUGAGUGUUCUGGGGAGCCGUUCUGCCCCCUUUCUGGAGGGCAAGCGGGACAGAUGCUGUUGUUAGCAGGGAAGAUGAGAGAGCCAUAGAGCUGCAGCUUGAGGCUGUGUUUGUGCGCUCCCGAGAAUGCUAUUGCCCAGGAGCCGCCUUUUCUCAGUGCAGCUACUCAAGGACAAGGCCCCGCGUCCUUUGGAAGGGGUGUGUGACAGGGUAAUCCUGUUCCCUCUGGCUUCAAGCCACGCAUGCUAUUGGAAAUGCAGGGUUGAAUCCUGCUGUAGCCCCUGCAGCCUGAAAGGUACCAAAGAACUGGGCUCGAGGGCCCAAAGGCUGGGAUUGGCAAGUGGCCUCUCCGUUUCAUACUGAUGCUUUCAGGAGCAUAGCCAUAUCUUUAACUUUGGCCUGCCGAGAACUGUCUGUGGGUUACUUGUGCCUGCUGGGGUGUAGCCCUCGAGGCCCGGCUAAACAGCACACAGUGGUUCGCUCUCCCUCCCCAGGCAAGGCUGGGGACAGUACCGGCAAGGUAGAAGUGGGAGGACUCACAGGAGAGGCUGAAGGCCGUUUCCGGGGCAAGGCCCAGGCCGCAAGAAGGAGCAAGGCAAAAUGCGGGAUUCAUUUCCAGGUUCCCGUUGGCGGGCAGAUGGAUAUUCAGGUGCUCCCAGAAAAGCGGGGACCGUCUCGUGUCUCAGUUUGCUGGGAAGACAAUCAGCAUUGCUCCCAGUAUGCUCUCAAUCCUCCUUCUGUAGGUUGGCUGUAACUGCGGAGCACGACAUUAGGUGGUACGGAAUAUCCCCUUGGUUCAGUUUGGGCCAGGUGGCCCAGCUGGGAUCCCCGCCGCCCUCCCGCAACUUCUCGUGCCACUCCAGCCUCCUGGCUCGAAGGAGAGCAUAAGAAGCAGAAGCGUCCUUGGUUUCUGUGGAAGCAGCGCUCUGCUACAGCACUUAGGUGGCUGUGUGAUCCGCGCUGUUCACGGCCCGAUUCCCAAACCUGCAGGACAGGUGCCUGCCAGAAGAAAAAGAUCUCUGCCCUAGCCAGACCCACGACAAUUCCCUAGCGCACUGCAGUAGCACAAAGUGAGGGUAGUCCUGUCGCUGGAGUGAGUAUCUGCGCUGCACCCGGUGGUACCGCAGCGUAACAUCGUGGCUUACGGGCCCUGAGUCUGCCGAGGUGCUUCCAAAGGAAGGGGCUCUGCUGCUCCCCAAAGGCUGUGCCGCAGCAGUCUGUGGAUAAGAGGAUGCUCUGCCCAUGCGCAGCAUUUCCACCGACGCAGAGCGUAGCUACUCAGAAUGCUGUGUGGGCAAACGCAGCCGAGUUUUAACAGUAUCAUCUGGGCUGCACAGUUGCAUCUAAACCCCUGCGUUUCUACACCAGAGCCCUCCCGUAGCUGGAGGAAGCAAGCAGCCGUUCAGGACAGACCUGAGAAGACAAUGGCAUUUAACAAAUGUGACUCAGCCAAUCUGAGAGGAUACAAAGACACGUGGGUUACCAAGUGUCCCAAAAUGGCGUCUCCUCUCCGUGGAAGGCAGGUGGAUACAAGAUGGCGCCUCCCUAUGCAGGGAGGUGGGAGGGAUUUCCUGUGCAGGGCCCUGCCACCUCCGGUGGGGCUGAUUGACAUUGGGCCUGCCCUUCACCUGAGGUUUCUUUCCCACCCCGGCAUGCAGUCGGCACAGCGCUGCCUGCUGCUGACCAGGAAGAGCUGCGGGCCGGAGAGGCAGGUGUGUGGAGCAGGAGCAGCAGCUUUACACGCCACAGCGUUCGGUGCCUGGCUGCCCGAGUGGUAAGAGAUGUUCUGUUGCACAUUGGGCGUAGUGAGGAGGGCUUGAAAGUGUAGAUUCACGGAAAGGGAGGGGGGCUCUCUGAGUGUUCUGGGGAGCCGUUCUGCCCCCUUUCUGGAGGGCAAGCGGGACAGAUGCUGUUGUUAGCAGGGAAGAUGAGAGAGCCAUAGAGCUGCAGCUUGAGGCUGUGUUUGUGCGCUCCCGAGAAUGCUAUUGCCCAGGAGCCGCCUUUUCUCAGUGCAGCUACUCAAGGACAAGGCCCCGCGUCCUUUGGAAGGGGUGUGUGACAGGGUAAUCCUGUUCCCUCUGGCUUCAAGCCACGCAUGCUAUUGGAAAUGCAGGGUUGAAUCCUGCUGUAGCCCCUGCAGCCUGAAAGGUACCAAAGAACUGGGCUCGAGGGCCCAAAGGCUGGGAUUGGCAAGUGGCCUCUCCGUUUCAUACUGAUGCUUUCAGGAGCAUAGCCAUAUCUUUAACUUUGGCCUGCCGAGAACUGUCUGUGGGUUACUUGUGCCUGCUGGGGUGUAGCCCUCGAGGCCCGGCUAAACAGCACACAGUGGUUCGCUCUCCCUCCCCAGGCAAGGCUGGGGACAGUACCGGCAAGGUAGAAGUGGGAGGACGCACAGGAGAGGCUGAAGGCCGUUUCCGGGGCAAGGCCCAGGCCGCAAGAAGGAGCAAGGCAAAAUGCGGGAUUCAUUUCCAGGUUCCCGUUGGCGGGCAGAUGGAUAUUCAGGUGCUCCCAGAAAAGCGGGGACCGUCUCGUGUCACAGUUUGCUGGGAAGACAAUCAGCAUUGCUCCCAGUAUGCUCUCAUGCCUCCUUCUGUAGGUUGGCUGUAACUGCGGAGCACGACAUUAGGUGGUACGGAAUAUCCCCUUGGUUCAGUUUGGGCCAGGUGGCCCAGCUGGGAUCCCCGCCGCCCUCCCGCAACUUCUUGUGCCACUCCAGCCUCCUGGCUCAAAGGAGAGCAUAAGAAGCAGAAGCGUCCUUGGUUUCUGUGGAAGCAGCGCUCUGCUACAGCACUUAGGUGGCUGUGUGAUCCGCGCUGUUCACGGCCCGAUUCCCAAACCUGCAGGACAGGUGCCUGCCACAAGAAAAAGAUCUCUGCCCUAGCCAGACCCACGACAUUUCCCUAGCGCACUGCAGUAGCACAAAGUGAGGGUAGUCCUGUCGCUGGAGUGAGUAUCUGCGCUGCACCCGGUGGUACCGCAGCGUAACAUCGUGGCUUACGGGCCCUGAGUCUGCCGAGGUGCUUCCAAAGGAAGGGGCUCUGCUGCUUUCCAAAGGCUGCGCAGCAGCAGUCUGUGGAUAAGAGGAUGCUCUGCCCAUGCGCAGCAUUUCCACCGACGCAGAGCGUAGCUACUCAGAAUGCUGUGUGGGCAAACGCAGCCGAGUUUUAACAGUAUCAUCUGGGCUGCACAGUUGCAUCUAAACCCCUGCGUUUCUACACCAGAGCCCUCCCGUAGCUGGAGGAAGCAAGCAGCCGUUCAGGACAGACCUGAGAAGACAAUGGCAUUUAACAAAUGUGACUCAGCCAAUCUGAGAGGAUACAAAGACACGUGGGUUACCAAGUGUCCCAAAAUGGCGUCUCCUCUCCGUGGAAGGCAGGCGGAUACAAGAUGGCGCCUCCCUAUGCAGGGAGGUGGGAGGGAUUUCCUGUGCAGGGCCCUGCCACCUCCGGUGGGGCUGAUUGACAUUGGGCCCUGCCCUUCACCUGAGGUUUCUUUCCCACCCCGGCAUGCAGUCGGCACAGCGCUGCCUGCUGCUGACCAGGAAGAGCUGCGGGCCGGAGAGGCAGGUGUGUGGAGCAGGAGCAGCAGCUUUACACGCCACAGCGUUCGGUGCCUGGCUGCCCGAGUGGUAAGAGAUGUUCUGUUGCACAUUGGGCGUAGUGAGGAGGGCUUGAAAGUGUAGAUUCACGGAAAGGGAGGGGGGCUCUCUGAGUGUUCUGGGGAGCCGUUCUGCCCCCUUUCUGGAGGGCAAGCGGGACAGAUGCUGUUGUUAGCAGGGAAGAUGAGAGAGCCAUAGAGCUGCAGCUUGAGGCUGUGUUUGUGCGCUCCCGAGAAUGCUAUUGCCCAGGAGCCGCCUUUUCUCAGUGCAGCUACUCAAGGACAAGGCCCCGCGUCCUUUGGAAGGGGUGUGUGACAGGGUAAUCCUGUUCCCUCUGGCUUCAAGCCACGCAUGCUAUUGGAAAUGCAGGGUUGAAUCCUGCUGUAGCCCCUGCAGCCUGAAAGGUACCAAAGAACUGGGCUCGAGGGCCCAAAGGCUGGGAUUGGCAAGUGGCCUCUCCGUUUCAUACUGAUGCUUUCAGGAGCAUAGCCAUAUCUUUAACUUUGGCCUGCCGAGAACUGUCUGUGGGUUACUUGUGCCUGCUGGGGUGUAGCCCUCGAGGCCCGGCUAAACAGCACACAGUGGUUCGCUCUCCCUCCCCAGGCAAGGCUGGGGACAGUACCGGCAAGGUAGAAGUGGGAGGACUCACAGGAGAGGCUGAAGGCCGUUUCCGGGGCAAGGCCCAGGCCGCAAGAAGGAGCAAGGCAAAAUGCGGGAUUCAUUUCCAGGUUCCCGUUGGCGGGCAGAUGGAUAUUCAGGUGCUCCCAGAAAAGCGGGGACCGUCUCGUGUCUCAGUUUGCUGGGAAGACAAUCAGCAUUGCUCCCAGUAUGCUCUCAAUCCUCCUUCUGUAGGUUGGCUGUAACUGCGGAGCACGACAUUAGGUGGUACGGAAUAUCCCCUUGGUUCAGUUUGGGCCAGGUGGCCCAGCUGGGAUCCCCGCCGCCCUCCCGCAACUUCUCGUGCCACUCCAGCCUCCUGGCUCGAAGGAGAGCAUAAGAAGCAGAAGCGUCCUUGGUUUCUGUGGAAGCAGCGCUCUGCUACAGCACUUAGGUGGCUGUGUGAUCCGCGCUGUUCACGGCCCGAUUCCCAAACCUGCAGGACAGGUGCCUGCCAGAAGAAAAAGAUCUCUGCCCUAGCCAGACCCACGACAAUUCCCUAGCGCACUGCAGUAGCACAAAGUGAGGGUAGUCCUGUCGCUGGAGUGAGUAUCUGCGCUGCACCCGGUGGUACCGCAGCGUAACAUCGUGGCUUACGGGCCCUGAGUCUGCCGAGGUGCUUCCAAAGGAAGGGGCUCUGCUGCUCCCCAAAGGCUGCGCCGCAGCAGUCUGUGGAUAAGAGGAUGCUCUGCCCAUGCGCAGCAUUUCCACCGACGCAGAGCGUAGCUACUCAGAAUGCUGUGUGGGCAAACGCAGCCGAGUUUUAACAGUAUCAUCUGGGCUGCACAGUUGCAUCUAAACCCCUGCGUUUCUACACCAGAGCCCUCCCGUAGCUGGAGGAAGCAAGCAGCCGUUCAGGACAGACCUGAGAAGACAAUGGCAUUUAACAAAUGUGACUCAGCCAAUCUGAGAGGAUACAAAGACACGUGGGUUACCAAGUGUCCCAAAAUGGCGUCUCCUCUCCGUGGAAGGCAGGCGGAUACAAGAUGGCGCCUCCCUAUGCAGGGAGGUGGGAGGGAUUUCCUGUGCAGGGCCCUGCCACCUCCGGUGGGGCUGAUUGACAUUGGGCCCUGCCCUUCACCUGAGGUUUCUUUCCCACCCCGGCAUGCAGUCGGCACAGCGCUGCCUGCUGCUGACCAGGAAGAGCUGCGGGCCGGAGAGGCAGGUGUGUGGAGCAGGAGCAGCAGCUUUACACGCCACAGCGUUCGGUGCCUGGCUGCCCGAGUGGUAAGAGAUGUUCUGUUGCACAUUGGGCGUAGUGAGGAGGGCUUGAAAGUGUAGAUUCACGGAAAGGGAGGGGGGCUCUCUGAGUGUUCUGGGGAGCCGUUCUGCCCCCUUUCUGGAGGGCAAGCGGGACAGAUGCUGUUGUUAGCAGGGAAGAUGAGAGAGCCAUAGAGCUGCAGCUUGAGGCUGUGUUUGUGCGCUCCCGAGAAUGCUAUUGCCCAGGAGCCGCCUUUUCUCAGUGCAGCUACUCAAGGACAAGGCCCCGCGUCCUUUGGAAGGGGUGUGUGACAGGGUAAUCCUGUUCCCUCUGGCUUCAAGCCACGCAUGCUAUUGGAAAUGCAGGGUUGAAUCCUGCUGUAGCCCCUGCAGCCUGAAAGGUACCAAAGAACUGGGCUCGAGGGCCCAAAGGCUGGGAUUGGCAAGUGGCCUCUCCGUUUCAUACUGAUGCUUUCAGGAGCAUAGCCAUAUCUUUAACUUUGGCCUGCCGAGAACUGUCUGUGGGUUACUUGUGCCUGCUGGGGUGUAGCCCUCGAGGCCCGGCUAAACAGCACACAGUGGUUCGCUCUCCCUCCCCAGGCAAGGCUGGGGACAGUACCGGCAAGGUAGAAGUGGGAGGACGCACAGGAGAGGCUGAAGGCCGUUUCCGGGGCAAGGCCCAGGCCGCAAGAAGGAGCAAGGCAAAAUGCGGGAUUCAUUUCCAGGUUCCCGUUGGCGGGCAGAUGGAUAUUCAGGUGCUCCCAGAAAAGCGGGGACCGUCUCGUGUCACAGUUUGCUGGGAAGACAAUCAGCAUUGCUCCCAGUAUGCUCUCAUGCCUCCUUCUGUAGGUUGGCUGUAACUGCGGAGCACGACAUUAGGUGGUACGGAAUAUCCCCUUGGUUCAGUUUGGGCCAGGUGGCCCAGCUGGGAUCCCCGCCGCCCUCCCGCAACUUCUUGUGCCACUCCAGCCUCCUGGCUCAAAGGAGAGCAUAAGAAGCAGAAGCGUCCUUGGUUUCUGUGGAAGCAGCGCUCUGCUACAGCACUUAGGUGGCUGUGUGAUCCGCGCUGUUCACGGCCCGAUUCCCAAACCUGCAGGACAGGUGCCUGCCACAAGAAAAAGAUCUCUGCCCUAGCCAGACCCACGACAUUUCCCUAGCGCACUGCAGUAGCACAAAGUGAGGGUAGUCCUGUCGCUGGAGUGAGUAUCUGCGCUGCACCCGGUGGUACCGCAGCGUAACAUCGUGGCUUACGGGCCCUGAGUCUGCCGAGGUGCUUCCAAAGGAAGGGGCUCUGCUGCUUUCCAAAGGCUGCGCAGCAGCAGUCUGUGGAUAAGAGGAUGCUCUGCCCAUGCGCAGCAUUUCCACCGACGCAGAGCGUAGCUACUCAGAAUGCUGUGUGGGCAAACGCAGCCGAGUUUUAACAGUAUCAUCUGGGCUGCACAGUUGCAUCUAAACCCCUGCGUUUCUACACCAGAGCCCUCCCGUAGCUGGAGGAAGCAAGCAGCCGUUCAGGACAGACCUGAGAAGACAAUGGCAUUUAACAAAUGUGACUCAGCCAAUCUGAGAGGAUACAAAGACACGUGGGUUACCAAGUGUCCCAAAAUGGCGUCUCCUCUCCGUGGAAGGCAGGUGGAUACAAGAUGGCGCCUCCCUAUGCAGGGAGGUGGGAGGGAUUUCCUGUGCAGGGCCCUGCCACCUCCGGUGGGGCUGAUUGACAUUGGGCCCUGCCCUUCACCUGAGGUUUCUUUCCCACCCCGGCAUGCAGUCGGCACAGCGCUGCCUGCUGCUGACCAGGAAGAGCUGCGGGCCGGAGAGGCAGGUGUGUGGAGCAGGAGCAGCAGCUUUACACGCCACAGCGUUCGGUGCCUGGCUGCCCGAGUGGUAAGAGAUGUUCUGUUGCACAUUGGGCGUAGUGAGGAGGGCUUGAAAGUGUAGAUUCACGGAAAGGGAGGGGGGCUCUCUGAGUGUUCUGGGGAGCCGUUCUGCCCCCUUUCUGGAGGGCAAGCGGGACAGAUGCUGUUGUUAGCAGGGAAGAUGAGAGAGCCAUAGAGCUGCAGCUUGAGGCUGUGUUUGUGCGCUCCCGAGAAUGCUAUUGCCCAGGAGCCGCCUUUUCUCAGUGCAGCUACUCAAGGACAAGGCCCCGCGUCCUUUGGAAGGGGUGUGUGACAGGGUAAUCCUGUUCCCUCUGGCUUCAAGCCACGCAUGCUAUUGGAAAUGCAGGGUUGAAUCCUGCUGUAGCCCCUGCAGCCUGAAAGGUACCAAAGAACUGGGCUCGAGGGCCCAAAGGCUGGGAUUGGCAAGUGGCCUCUCCGUUUCAUACUGAUGCUUUCAGGAGCAUAGCCAUAUCUUUAACUUUGGCCUGCCGAGAACUGUCUGUGGGUUACUUGUGCCUGCUGGGGUGUAGCCCUCGAGGCCCGGCUAAACAGCACACAGUGGUUCGCUCUCCCUCCCCAGGCAAGGCUGGGGACAGUACCGGCAAGGUAGAAGUGGGAGGACUCACAGGAGAGGCUGAAGGCCGUUUCCGGGGCAAGGCCCAGGCCGCAAGAAGGAGCAAGGCAAAAUGCGGGAUUCAUUUCCAGGUUCCCGUUGGCGGGCAGAUGGAUAUUCAGGUGCUCCCAGAAAAGCGGGGACCGUCUCGUGUCACAGUUUGCUGGGAAGACAAUCAGCAUUGCUCCCAGUAUGCUCUCAAUCCUCCUUCUGUAGGUUGGCUGUAACUGCGGAGCACGACAUUAGGUGGUACGGAAUAUCCCCUUGGUUCAGUUUGGGCCAGGUGGCCCAGCUGGGAUCCCCGCCGCCCUCCCGCAACUUCUCGUGCCACUCCAGCCUCCUGGCUCGAAGGAGAGCAUAAGAAGCAGAAGCGUCCUUGGUUUCUGUGGAAGCAGCGCUCUGCUACAGCACUUAGGUGGCUGUGUGAUCCGCGCUGUUCACGGCCCGAUUCCCAAACCUGCAGGACAGGUGCCUGCCAGAAGAAAAAGAUCUCUGCCCUAGCCAGACCCACGACAAUUCCCUAGCGCACUGCAGUAGCACAAAGUGAGGGUAGUCCUGUCGCUGGAGUGAGUAUCUGCGCUGCACCCGGUGGUACCGCAGCGUAACAUCGUGGCUUACGGGCCCUGAGUCUGCCGAGGUGCUUCCAAAGGAAGGGGCUCUGCUGCUCCCCAAAGGCUGCGCCGCAGCAGUCUGUGGAUAAGAGGAUGCUCUGCCCAUGCGCAGCAUUUCCACCGACGCAGAGCGUAGCUACUCAGAAUGCUGUGUGGGCAAACGCAGCCGAGUUUUAACAGUAUCAUCUGGGCUGCACAGUUGCAUCUAAACCCCUGCGUUUCUACACCAGAGCCCUCCCGUAGCUGGAGGAAGCAAGCAGCCGUUCAGGACAGACCUGAGAAGACAAUGGCAUUUAACAAAUGUGACUCAGCCAAUCUGAGAGGAUACAAAGACACGUGGGUUACCAAGUGUCCCAAAAUGGCGUCUCCUCUCCGUGGAAGGCAGGCGGAUACAAGAUGGCGCCUCCCUAUGCAGGGAGGUGGGAGGGAUUUCCUGUGCAGGGCCCUGCCACCUCCGGUGGGGCUGAUUGACAUUGGGCCCUGCCCUUCACCUGAGGUUUCUUUCCCACCCCGGCAUGCAGUCGGCACAGCGCUGCCUGCUGCUGACCAGGAAGAGCUGCGGGCCGGAGAGGCAGGUGUGUGGAGCAGGAGCAGCAGCUUUACACGCCACAGCGUUCGGUGCCUGGCUGCCCGAGUGGUAAGAGAUGUUCUGUUGCACAUUGGGCGUAGUGAGGAGGGCUUGAAAGUGUAGAUUCACGGAAAGGGAGGGGGGCUCUCUGAGUGUUCUGGGGAGCCGUUCUGCCCCCUUUCUGGAGGGCAAGCGGGACAGAUGCUGUUGUUAGCAGGGAAGAUGAGAGAGCCAUAGAGCUGCAGCUUGAGGCUGUGUUUGUGCGCUCCCGAGAAUGCUAUUGCCCAGGAGCCGCCUUUUCUCAGUGCAGCUACUCAAGGACAAGGCCCCGCGUCCUUUGGAAGGGGUGUGUGACAGGGUAAUCCUGUUCCCUCUGGCUUCAAGCCACGCAUGCUAUUGGAAAUGCAGGGUUGAAUCCUGCUGUAGCCCCUGCAGCCUGAAAGGUACCGAAGAACUGGGCUCGAGGGCCCAAAGGCUGGGAUUGGCAAGUGGCCUCUCCGUUUCAUACUGAUGCUUUCAGGAGCAUAGCCAUAUCUUUAACUUUGGCCUGCCGAGAACUGUCUGUGGGUUACUUGUGCCUGCUGGGGUGUAGCCCUCGAGGCCCGGCUAAACAGCACACAGUGGUUCGCUCUCCCUCCCCAGGCAAGGCUGGGGACAGUACCGGCAAGGUAGAAGUGGGAGGACUCACAGGAGAGGCUGAAGGCCGUUUCCGGGGCAAGGCCCAGGCCGCAAGAAGGAGCAAGGCAAAAUGCGGGAUUCAUUUCCAGGUUCCCGUUGGCGGGCAGAUGGAUAUUCAGGUGCUCCCAGAAAAGCGGGGACCGUCUCGUGUCACAGUUAGCUGGGAAGACAAUCAGCAUUGCUCCCAGUAUGCUCUCAUGCCUCCUUCUGUAGGUUGGCUGUAACUGCGGAGCACGACAUUAGGUGGUACGGAAUAUCCCCUUGGUUCAGUUUGGGCCAGGUGGCCCAGCUGGGAUCCCCGCCGCCCUCCCGCAACUUCUUGUGCCACUCCAGCCUCCUGGCUCGAAGGAGAGCAUAAGAAGCAGAAGCGUCCUUGGUUUCUGUGGAAGCAGCUCUCUGCUACAGCACUUAGGUGGCUGUGUGAUCCGCGCUGUUCACGGCCCGAUUCCCAAACCUGCAGGACAGGUGCCUGCCACAAGAAAAAGAUCUCUGCCCUAGCCAGACCCACAACAAUUCCCUAGCGCACUGCAGUAGCACAAAGUGAGGGUAGUCCUGUCGCUGGAGUGAGUAUCUGCGCUGCACCCGGUGGUACCGCAGCGUAACAUCGUGGCUUACGGGCCCUGAGUCUGCCGAGGUGCUUCCAAAGGAAGGGGCUCUGCUGCUCCCCAAAGGCUGCGCCGCAGCAGUCUGUGGAUAAGAGGAUGCUCUGCCCAUGCGCAGCAUUUCCACCGACGCAGAGCGUAGCUACUCAGAAUGCUGUGUGGGCAAACGCAGCCGAGUUUUAACAGUAUCAUCUGGGCUGCACAGUUGCAUCUAAACCCCUGCGUUUCUACACCAGAGCCCUCCCGUAGCUGGAGGAAGCAAGCAGCCGUUCAGGACAGACCUGAGAAGACAAUGGCAUUUAACAAAUGUGACUCAGCCAAUCUGAGAGGAUACAAAGACACGUGGGUUACCAAGUGUCCCAAAAUGGCGUCUCCUCUCCGUGGAAGGCAGGCGGAUACAAGAUGGCGCCUCCCUCUGCAGGGAGGUGGGAGGGAUUUCCUGUGCAGGGCCCUGCCACCUCCGGUGGGGCUGAUUGACAUUGGGCCUGCCCUUCACCUGAGGUUUCUUUCCCACCCCGGCAUGCAGUCGGCACAGCGCUGCCUGCUGCUGACCAGGAAGAGCUGCGGGCCGGAGAGGCAGGUGUGUGGAGCAGGAGCAGCAGCUUUACACGCCACAGCGUUCGGUGCCUGGCUGCCCGAGUGGUAAGAGAUGUUCUGUUGCACAUUGGGCGUAGUGAGGAGGGCUUGAAAGUGUAGAUUCACGGAAAGGGAGGGGGGCUCUCUGAGUGUUCUGGGGAGCCGUUCUGCCCCCUUUCUGGAGGGCAAGCGGGACAGAUGCUGUUGUUAGCAGGGAAGAUGAGAGAGCCAUAGAGCUGCAGCUUGAGGCUGUGUUUGUGCGCUCCCGAGAAUGCUAUUGCCCAGGAGCCGCCUUUUCUCAGUGCAGCUACUCAAGGACAAGGCCCCGCGUCCUUUGGAAGGGGUGUGUGACAGGGUAAUCCUGUUCCCUCUGGCUUCAAGCCACGCAUGCUAUUGGAAAUGCAGGGUUGAAUCCUGCUGUAGCCCCUGCAGCCUGAAAGGUACCAAAGAACUGGGCUCGAGGGCCCAAAGGCUGGGAUUGGCAAGUGGCCUCUCCGUUUCAUACUGAUGCUUUCAGGAGCAUAGCCAUAUCUUUAACUUUGGCCUGCCGAGAACUGUCUGUGGGUUACUUGUGCCUGCUGGGGUGUAGCCCUCGAGGCCCGGCUAAACAGCACACAGUGGUUCGCUCUCCCUCCCCAGGCAAGGCUGGGGACAGUACCGGCAAGGUAGAAGUGGGAGGACUCACAGGAGAGGCUGAAGGCCGUUUCCGGGGCAAGGCCCAGGCCGCAAGAAGGAGCAAGGCAAAAUGCGGGAUUCAUUUCCAGGUUCCCGUUGGCGGGCAGAUGGAUAUUCAGGUGCUCCCAGAAAAGCGGGGACCGUCUCGUGUCACAGUUUGCUGGGAAGACAAUCAGCAUUGCUCCCAGUAUGCUCUCAUGCCUCCUUCUGUAGGUUGGCUGUAACUGCGGAGCACUACAUUAGGCGGUACGGAAUAUCCCCUUGGUUCAGUUUGGGCCAGGUGGCCCAGCUGGGAUCCCCGCCGCCCUCCCACAACUUCUUGUGCCACUCCAGCCUCCUGGCUCGAAGGAGAGCAUAAGAAGCAGAAGCGUCCUUGGUUUCUGUGGAAGCAGCGCUCUGCUACAGCACUUAGGUGGCUGUGUGAUCCGCGCUGUUCACGGCCCGAUUCCCAAACCUGCAGGACAGGUACCUGCCAGAAGAAAAAGAUCUCUGCCCUAGCCAGACCCACGACAUUCCCUAGCGCACUGCAGUAGCACAAAGUGAGGGUAGUCCUGUCGCUGGAGUGAGUAUCUGCGCUGCACCCGGUGGUACCGCAGCGUAACAUCGUG